AAUAGAAUGCCUGACAAAAGGACCAUCUUGAUAGGAUGAAUUAUGUAAAAUUUUUACUUCUAUUA
rnacentral:tRNA from 1 species